CGUCAUUGGACAAUCCAUUUUAAUCUCAGCCAUCGCGGGAAGAUCUUGGGAAGCCAGUAGACACUCCAGUAAUAGGAAGGCAGUGGACACUCCAGUAAUAGGAAGUCAGUGGACACUCAAGUAGUACGUUACUGAUGAACCACAAUUAAGGAUGGCAACCCAUAAGAGACGAUGUCUGCUGAGGGAUCAAAAAGACUUUUCUGGAAAAGGCUAUUUAUUAAACGGAAUACGCGUAGAGACAUCAAGUCUAAUCGGACCAAUUCGAAUUUUUUUGCGCACGAUGUCAUUUUUGAGCCGUGUCAAGUGGCUCCGCCGGCGACUUGAUUGGUCCACGCGGUUGUCAACUCGUUUAUUUGUGUGAUGGGC